rnacentral:rRNA from 1 species
UGAGCAAUCUGCCCUUCUCAUCGGAAUAAGCGUUGGAAACGACGUCUAAUGCCGAAUACGACCUCCUUUCGCAUGAUCGGAGGUGGAAAGCUCCGGCGGAGAAGGAUGAGCUCGCGGCCUAUCAGCUAGUUGGUGUGGGUAACGGCCCACCAAGGCGACGACGGGUAGCCGGCCUGAGAGGGUGACCGGCCACACUGGGACUGAGAUACGGCCCAGACUCCGUACGGGAGGCAGCG